CCUACGGGAGGCAGCAGUGGGGAAUAUUGGGCAAUGGGCGCAAGCCUGACCCAGCAACGCCGCGUGAAGGAAGAAGGCUUUCGGGUUGUAAACUUCUUUUGUCAGGGACGAAGCAAGUGACGGUACCUGACGAAUAAGCCACGGCUAACUACGUGCCAGCAGCCGCGGUACUACGUAGGUGGCAAGCGUUAUACGGAUUUGCUGGGUGUAAAGGGCGUGUAGGCGGGACUGCAAGUCAGAUGUGAAAGCCACGGGCUCAACCUGUGAACGGCAUUCGAUACUGUUGUUCUUGAGUGCUGGAGAGGCAGGUGGAAGUCCGAGUGUAGCGGUGAAAUGCGUAGAUAUUAGGAGGAACACCAGUGGCGAAGGCGGUCUGCUGGAAAGCAACUGACGCUGAGGCGCGAAAGCGUGGGGAGCAAACAGGAUUAGAUACCCUUGUAGUC
rnacentral:rRNA from 1 species